UGGGGAAUAUUGCGCAAUGGGGGAAACCCUGACGCAGCAACGCCGCGUGAAGGAUGAAGGCCUUCGGGUUGUAAACUUCUUUAGUCGGGGACGAAUGGAUGACGGUACCCGAAGAAUAAGCCACGGCUAACUACGUGCCAGCAGCCGCGGUAAUACGUAGGUGGCAAGCGUUGUCCGGAAUUACUGGGUGUAAAGGGCGUGUAGGCGGGUUAUCAAGUCAGAUGUGAAAUUCCAGAGCUCAACUCUGGCGCUGCAUCUGAAACUGAUGAUCUUGAGUACUGGAGAGGGAAGCGGAAUUCCUAGUGUAGCGGUGAAAUGCGUAGAUAUUAGGAGGAACACCAGUGGCGAAGGCGGCUUUCUGGACAGUAACUGACGCUGAGGCGCGAAAGCGUGGGGAGCAAACAGG
rnacentral:rRNA from 2 species